rnacentral:lncRNA from 1 species
UCCAAACCAUAUCACCUGCUCACCACCAGCACGUCGCUCUCUUGUUCGUUUCGCUCCCUUGUUCGUUUGCUUUUGCUCUUCCUCUCUUUCACUGCCUAUUUUUCUGUUUCUUUGUAUGUGUGUACUUUGUUUGUUUUCUUUUUCUCCUGUCUCUUCCUCUCCUCCUUUAUCAAUUGUUUCCCCCUCCCUCUUUGUCUCUUUCUUUGACUUUCUUCUUUUAAAAAAAUAUAACUAGCCCUGCCCCUGCCCCUGCCCCUGCCCCUGCCCCUGCCUCUGCCUCUCCCUCUCCCCUCUCCCCUCUCCCCUCUCCCCUCUCCCUCUCGGUCUCCCUCUCCCUCUCUUUCCACGGUCUCCCUCUGAUGCCGAGCCGAAGCUGGACUGUACUGCCUCUGCCUCUGCCUCUCCCUCUCCCCUCUCCCCUCUCCCCUCUCCCUCUCGGUCUCCCUCUCCCUCUCUUUCCACGGUCUCCCUCUGAUGCUGAGCCGAAGCUGGACUGUACUGCUGCCAUCUCGGCUCACUGCAACCUCCCUGCCUGAUUCUCCUGCCUCAGCCUGCCGAGUGCCUGCAAUUGCAGGCGCGCGCCACCACGCCUGACUGGUUUUCAUACUUUUUUAGUGGAGACGGGGUUUCGCUGUGUUGGCCGGGCUGGUCUCCAGCUCCUAACCGCGAGUGAUCCGCCAGCCUUGGCCUCCCGAGGUGCCGGGAUUGCAGACGGAGUCUGGUUCACUCAGUGCUCAAUGGUGCCCAGGCUGGAGUGCAGUGGCGUGAUCUCAGCUCGCUACAACCUCCAUCUCCCAGCCGCCUGCCUUGGCCUCCCAAAGUGCCAAGAUUGCAGCCUCUGCCUGGCCACCACCCCGUCUGGGAAGUAAGGAGCGUCUCUGCCUGGCCGCCCAUCGUCUGGGACGUGAGGAGCCCCUCUGCCUGGCUGCCCAGUCUGGAAAGUGAGGAGCGUCUCUGCCCGGCCGCCAUCCCAUCUAGGAAGUGAGGAGCGCCUCUUCCCGGCAGCCAUCCCAUCUGGGAAGUGAGGAGCGUCUCUGCCCGGCCGCCCAUCGUCUGAGAUGUGGGGAGCGCCUCUGCCCCGCCGCCCCGUCUGGGAUGUGAGGAGCGCCUCUGCCCGGCGGCGACCCCGUCUGGGAGGUGAGGAGCGUCUCUGCCCAGCCGCCCCGUCUGAGAAGUGAGGAGACCCUCCGCCCAGCAUCCGCCCCAUCUGAGAAGUGAGGAGCCCCUCCGCCCGGCAGCCGCCCCGUCUGAGAAGUGAGGAGUCCCUCUGCCCGGCAGCCACCCCGUCUGGGAAGUGAGGAGCGUCUCCGCCCGGCAGCCGCCCCGUCCGGGAGGGAGGUGGGGGGGUCAGCCCCCCGCCCGGCCAGCCGCCCCGUCCAGGAGGGAGGUGGGGGGUCAGCCCCCCGCCCGGCCAGCCACCCCGUCCGGGAGGGAGGUGGGGGUGUCAGCCCCACGUCCGGGAGGGAGGUGGGGGGGGUCAGCCCCCCGCCCGGCCAGCCGCCCCGUCUGGGAGGGAGGUGGGGUCAGCCCCCCGCCCGGCCAGCCGCCCCGUCCGGGAGGUGAGGGGCGCCUCUGCCCAGCCGCCCCUACUGGGAAGUGAGGAGCCCCUCUGCCGGGCCAGCCACCCCGUCCGGGAGGGAGGUGGGGGGCUCAGCCCCCCGCCCGGCCAGCCGACCCGUCCGGGAGGGAGGUGGGGGGUCAGCCCCCCGCCCGGCCAGCCGCCCCGUCCGGGAGGUGAGGGGCACCUCUGCCCGGCCGCCCCUACUGGGAAGUGAGGAGCCCCUCUGCCCAGCCAGCCGCCCCGUCCGGGAGGGAGGUGGGGGGGUCAGCCCCCCGCCCGGCCAGCCGCCCCGUCCGGGAGGGAGGUGGGGGGGUCAGCCCCCAGCCCGGCCAGCCGCCCUGUCCGGGAGGUGAGGGGCGCCUCUGCCCAGCCGCCCCUACUGGGAAGUGAGGAGCCCCUCUGCCCAGCCAGCCGCCCCGUCCGGGAGGGAGGUGGGGGGGUCAGCCCCCCGCCCGGCCAGCCGCCCCGUCCGGGAGGUGAGGGGCGCCUCUGCCCGGCCACCCCUACUGGGAAGUGAGGAGCCCCUCUGCCCAGCCACCACCUCGUCUGGGAGGUGUACCCAACAGCUCAUUGAGAACGGGCCGGGAUGACAAUGGCGGUUUUGUGGAAUAGAAAGGGGGGAAAGGUGGGGAAAAGAUUGAGAAAUCGGAUGGUUGCCGUGUCUGUGUAGAAAAAAGUAGACAUGGGAGACUUUUCAUUUUGUUCUGUACUAAGAUAAAUUCUUCUGCCUUGGGAUCCUGUUGAUCGGUGACCUUACCCCCAACCCUGUGCUCUCUGAAACAUGUGCUGUGUCCACUCAGGGUUAAAUGGAUUAAGGGAGGUGCAAGAUGUGCUUUGUUAAACAGAUGCUUGAAGGCAGCAUGCUCGUUAAGAAUCAUCACCACUCCCUAAUCUCAAGUACCCAGGGACACAAACACUGCGGAAGGCCGCAGGGUCCUCUGCCUAGGAAAACCAGAGACCUUUGUUCACUUGUUUAUCUGCCAACCUUCCCUCCACUAUUGUCCUAUGACCCUGCCAAAUCCCCCUCUGCGAGAAACACCCAAGAAUGAUCAAUAAAAAAAAUAAAAAUUAAAAAAAAAAGUUAAAAAAUAUAUAUAUAUAACUAAUUAAUUUUAACAGACAAAUGAUAAUUGUGCAUAUUCAUGGGGUACAUAGUGAUGUUUCAGUACAUACAAUGUAUAGCGAUCAGAUCAGUGUAAUUAGCAUGGCCAUCCUCUCAAACAUUUAUAAUUUCUUUGUGUUAGGAACUUUUACCAUCCUCCUUCUAGCUAUUUGAAACUCUGUAAUGUAUGAUUGUUAAUUAUAGUCAUCCUCCAGUGCUGUAGAACACUAGAACUUGUUCCUCCUAUCUAGCUGUGAUUUUGUUUCAUUUAACAAAUCUCUCCCUAUCCCUCCCUUCCUCCAACUUUGUUUUACCUCUUCUCUUCUUUAUUCACCUCCACUCUCAUGACCAUCUUUGAAAUCAACCAAAUAUGGAACUUAAAUACAGCAUUUUAGAUAUUCAUAUUUGUAGAAAAUAAUUUUAUACUUGCAGCUCUUAAUUUUAAAAGCAUAUAAGUUUGCAUAUCUCUUUCUUAAAAGAGAAUUCAAGGCCAACAACUUAAAUUUUACUUCUGACAGGAUUUUUUAUUGUUUUCUAUAGGUCAGUGAGCCUGAAUAGACAAAAUAUUUCCUAGCAAAGCCCUCAUAUUUAAUAUUAUGUGAAUUUAAAGUUUUUAAAUCAUAAUUGUAAAAUAAAUAUUUAAUAACU